rnacentral:snRNA from 1 species
GUGCUCACUUCAGCAGCACACAUACUAAAAUUGGAACCAUACAGAGAAGAUUAGCAUGACCCCGUGCAAGGAUGACACACAAAUUCAUGAAGCAUUCCAUAUUAAA